UCCAGGGUAGCCUAGUGGACAUGGAAUCUGCCAGGUAAGCGGAACACUGUGGGUUCUAUUCCCAUCCUUGGAC